GGGGGAUAUUGCACAAUGGGGGAAACCCUGAUGCAGCGACGCCGCGUGGAGGAAGAAGGUUUUCGGAUUGUAAACUCCUGUCGUUAGGGGCGAUAAUGACGGUACCUAACAAGAAAGCACCGGCUAACUACGUGCCAGCAGCCGCGGUAAAACGUAGGGUGCAAGCGUUGUCCGGAAUUACUGGGUGUAAAGGGAGCGCAGGCGGGAAGACAAGUUGGAAGUGAAAACCAUGGGCUCAACCCAUGAAUUGCUUUCAAAACUGUUUUUCUUGAGUAGUGCAGAGGUAGAUGGAAUUCCCGGUGUAGCGGUGGAAUGCGUAGAUAUCGGGAGGAACACCAGUGGCGAAGGCGGUCUACUGGGCACCAACUGACGCUGAGGCUCGAAAGCAUGGGUAGCAAACAGGAUUAGAUACCCUGGUAGUCCAUGCCGUAAACGAUGAUUACUAGGUGUUGGGGGAUUGACCCCCUCAGUGCCGCAGUUAACACAAUAAGUAAUCCACCUGGGGAGUACGACCGCAAGGUUGAAACUCAAAGGAAUUGACGGGGGCCCGCACAAGCAGUGGAGUAUGUGGUUUAAUUCGAAGCAACGCGAAGAACCUUACCAGGUCUUGACAUCCGAUGCAUAGCACAGAGAUGUGUGAAAUCCUUCGGGACAUCGAGACAGGUGGUGCAUGGUUGUCGUCAGCUCGUGUCGUGAGAUGUUGGGUUAAGUCCCGCAACGAGCGCAACCCUUAUUGCCAGUUACUACGUUAAGAGGACUCUGGCGAGACUGCCGUUGACAAAACGGAGGAAGGUGGGGAUGACGUCAAAUCAUCAUGCCCUUUAUGACCUGGGCUACACACGUACUACAAUGGCGUUAAACAAAGAGAAGCAAGACCGCGAGGUGGAGCAAAACUCAAAAACAACGUCUCAGUUCAGAUUGCAGGCUACAACUCGCCUGCAUGAAGUCGGAAUUGCUAGUAAUCGCGGAUCAGCAUGCCGCGGUGAAUACGUUCCCG
rnacentral:rRNA from 1 species